GUGGAAAGUAAGAAAACAUUUUUGGUUAACCUGCAAGGCCUUGAAAAUCUUAUUCCUUAAUAAAAAGCACACAAAAACUAAACAUGACAGACACUGAUUUCACUGUCAAAAAGAGCAUACUAUGUAUUUACAGCAUUCCUAAACAACCACGAUGAUAAUUUCUUAUCGUUCUAAAUCCAAUGUCAAUGACACUUCAUGGUUUUUAGUUUCCGACUUUUAGUAAUCAUCGUAGAUUUCCAAAUUGAUGUUUUUUCGGUUCUCUGCAAUGUUCACGCCCAAAGCAUCAUAACUUUCUCCCGACACGCCUUUCGUGAAAACGUACACUGGCCUUUGAAAUCCUAUAAAAGAUUACAUGUAAAUAGUUUAUAAAGUUGAUUUUCAACAAAAUAAAGAAAUAGAUCAUGCUACUCUGAGCGGCUCAAUAGACCAUUUCAAUAAUACCAAGUUGAGGCUUAGUGCAAAUCUCAGUGGCCCUUAUUGCUAAUCUAUUCAAAUUUUGUGUUCGAAGUUUGAUUUGAAUACAAAAACCCGCGAGGCUCGACGCUUGCUAUUCAAAGUUCAAAC
rnacentral:lncRNA from 1 species